UGGAAGAGAGAAACUAAACACAUUUAUCACACACACAACCACAUCGAGUUGACAUCUACCUAACUCAUUAAUCACACUUACACAUUGAUUUCUAUCUAACUCAUUAAUCACACCUAAACAUUUCUACGUAACUCAUAUCAAUCAAACGCAUUUCAAUUCGUUCAAGAUCAUUCACAAUCAAUUUGUGACAGACACUCAUUAAUCUCCAAACAUUGCUUUCUAUCUAACUUGUUUCUACCUAACCAGACCACAAGCAAUUCCUUUCAUAUGAGAGUCACAAUCAAUUCGUUCCACACCACACUCCUGAAAACAUCUAACAUAUCAACGGUAGAUGUCAAACCUGAAAUAGCCAUUGUCUCUUGAUCCGUCCAUAUUACAGUCCUCUUCUUUGAAGCAGCUUCAUGUCUCUUGAUCCGUCCUUCUGAAAAGGAAACACAAGAAACGAAAUCAAG
rnacentral:lncRNA from 1 species